UGACAGAGAGCGCUGGUAAGUGGACACAUAAUGACUCAUUCUGACUGACAUACAGCAUGUUACCGUAGACCUGACGGAGACUUGACCUGUUUUCAUAAACAAGUCACUGUCUCACUGGCAGGAGCUGGAAUGCAAUUAGUCCAGAUUAGUCACAGUGGCCUUAUGGCAGCCAGACGCAUCCUCUGAGCCCCGUCCUGAACCCCCACCUCCCCACUACCUCCAUCAGGACCGCAACACCUGUCUCCUAGCAACCUGCAUCUAGAUCUCAGGCAAGGGAUGCUGCCUGACACAAGAACGACAAGACACACAUUCUCUGGAUCAGCCAUCCAAGAGCUUGACGAUGUAAUGAUGCCAUGGGUGAGCAGAGGACAAAGCACUGGAAUGCUGGAUUUCAAUAAGCGCGCACUUGGAAUUCUGGGACUGGAAUUUUAUUCUUCUAUUAAUAAUGCAAAUGUGUUUGGAAGCUAGUUCAUAUUACUGCCACAGACAAAAAUGAAA